rnacentral:tRNA from 1 species
CAGAAAAUAGUUUAUUAAAAUAGUAACUUUGGGAGUUAUUGAUACCUUUUGGUUUUUCUGA